rnacentral:rRNA from 1 species
AUGGCGGCCGAGAGACUCGCCGAUGACCUGCUCAUCGAGAUACUGUCGCGCAUUCCUGUAAGGUCAGUGUGCCGCUUGAAGUGCGUCUUCAAGGACUGGCUCAGUCUCAUCGACCACCCCGAUCACCGAAGGAAGCUCCCUCAAACCCUAGCCGGCUUCUUCUACACUCGAAGCGACAAUCCGGAGUUCCCUCUGGAAACAGAAGUCCGCUUCACCAGUGUCUUGGGGAAAAACUGCCCUCCGAUAGACACCUUAUUCGCUUUCCUUCCCAGCCAUCGGCGCAUCGAUCUAUUGGACUGCUGCAAUGGCCUCCUCCUCUCUCGCUGGUACGCCGUUUCCGCUCCUGGUGAUGAGUUUUGUUACAUCGUGUGCCAUCCUGCCAUGAAGGAGUGGGUUUCGUUGCCCGAUCGCAGCCAUGAAAACAAGGUGGGCAUAGAGCGUCUGGGUUUCGAUCUGACCGUGUCUUCCCACUUCUAUGUGUUUGUGUUACUAGAGGAUGUCAACUUUAACGACGACCUUGCUGAAGUGGAAGUGUAUUCACCGGAAACCAGGAGAUGGAUUUACAAGGAAAUUGACUACCCAGCAGGAAGCACAAUUCUUUUGUCCCUUCCCUUUUUUGGGCAGUCUACCGCUGUUCAAAAGGUCACCCUUUUUUAUAGGUGUGGUGGACACGGUGGGGGAAACAUCGAUGAACUUCCAUAUCCCCGCUCAUUUGAAUAA